rnacentral:tRNA from 1 species
CAAAUCAUUAGAUAACUUAAAGUAAGUAAUGGUCUCUUAAACCACAAUAUAGUAAUUUAACGAAUACUUCUAAUGA